GGAAUAUUGGUCAAUGGAGGGAACUCUGAACCAGCCAUGCCGCGUGCAGGAUGACUGCCCUACGGGUUGUAAACUGCUUUUGUCAGGGAAUAAACCUUUCCACGAGUGGGAAGCUGAAUGUACCUGCAGAAUAAGGAUCGGCUAACUCCGUGCCAGCAGCCGCGGUAAUACGGAGGAUCCAAGCGUUAUCCGGAUUUAUUGGGUUUAAAGGGUGCGUAGGCGGUCCUAUAAGUCAGUGGUGAAAUACGGCAGCUCAACUGUCGCAGUGCCUUUGAUACUGUAGGACUUGAAUCUAUUUGAAGCGGGCGGAAUAAGACAAGUAGCGGUGAAAUGCAUAGAUAUGUCUUAGAACUCCGAUUGCGAAGGCAGCUCACUAAGUUAGCAUUGACGCUGAUGCACGAAAGCGUGGGGAUCAAAC
rnacentral:rRNA from 1 species